rnacentral:rRNA from 1 species
AUUGAACGCUGGCGGCAGGCCUAACACAUGCAAGUCGAACGAGUGGCGGACGGGUGAGUAAUGUCUGGGAAACUGCCUGAUGGAGGGGGAUAACUACUGGAAACGGUAGCUAAUACCGCAUACCAUCAGAUGUGCCCAGAUGGGAUUAGCUAGUUGGUGGGGUAACGGCUCACCAAGGCGACGAUCCCUAGCUGGUCUGAGAGGAUGACCAGAAACACUGGAAGUGAGAAACGGUCCAGACUCCUAUGGGGGGCAGCGGGGGGAAAUAUUGCACAAUGGGCGAAGCCUGGAUGCAGCCAGGCCGCGUGUAUGAAGAAGGCCUUCGGGUUGUAAAGUCUUUUCAGCGGGGAGGGGUUCCCGGCAGAAGAAGCACCGGCUAACUCCGUGCCAGCAGCGCCGGUAUAC